rnacentral:rRNA from 1 species
GAUGAACACUAGCGACAGGCCUUACACAUGCAAGUCGAACGGCAGCGGGGGAGAAGCUUGCUUUUCCUGCCGGCGAGUGGCGAACGGGUGAGUAAUACAUCGGAACGUGCCCUGUAGUGGGGGAUAACUAGUCGAAAGAUUAGCUAAUACCGCAUACGACCUGAGGGUGAAAGUGGGGGACCGCAAGGCCUCAUGCUAUAGGAGCGGCCGAUGUCUGAUUAGCUAGUUGGUGGGGUAAAGGCCUACCAAGGCGACGAUCAGUAGCUGGUCUGAGAGGACGAUCAGCCACACUGGGACUGAGACACGGCCCAGACUCCUACGGGAGGCAGCAGUGGGGAAUUUUGGACAAUGGGCGAAAGCCUGAUCCAGCAAUGCCGCGUGUGUGAAGAAGGCCUUCGGGUUGUAAAGCACUUUUGUCCGGAAAGAAAUGGCUCUGGUUAAUACCUGGGGUCGAUGACGGUACCGGAAGAAUAAGGACCGGCUAACUACGUGCCAGCAGCCGCCGUAAGAC